ACUCAUUCUGACAGAAGCAGAGAUAAAACAGACUAAGUACACAGAGGAGUUUAAGGUUUCGUGAAUGUAAGUGCUGAGUACAGAAUGGUGCUCAAUAAAAGCUUGUUAAUUGAUGGACCACAGGUUUGUGACAAGACUUCUCAGAGUCUGAUUCUUUCAAGGUGGGAUAUAAGAGUAAGAUACCUUGACUAUGAAUAAUAGUUUCAAUAAGGAAGACAGAAUGAGUUCUGACACGAUGGUUGGGAGCUGUGACAGGCAGACGAAAAAUGGAGCCAAAUGGCAUGGAGGUGUGUCAUCACUGCUGGAUUUUACCUUGAUCUACAUUCAGUUAUCUACUUCUUUUCAAAAUGCUGGGCAUUCAUUCAAGAAACAGCAUAUAUGUUCUGACUUUGAAGUAAUGGAUGAACUGUCAUGUGCAGUAUAUGGAAAUAAGUUUUAUUACCUUCUUCCCACAUUAACUCAUCCAUCCAUUCAAUAGCCAUUUAUUGAGAAGCUCACUCUGUGUUAGGCACAGUGGUGUCAUGAUGUUGGAACAGUAACAAUAACUCAACCAACCAGGGCUUGUCUGAAUACAAUCCUACAGCAGCAGGAGCUGUGGAGAUAUAGAAGGCAAGGAAGACCAGGUUGUGAGGGAAGACGAAUUUACUCCCAGGAAUGUUGGGAUUGAGAGUAAUAUUCUCCAAUAAUGGUGGAAGACAGAACAAUAAAAGCCCACCAGCUCCUUCUGCAUGGUGGGAUAAGAGAAAAGCCAAGGGCAGAAGUGAGAAAAAUAACCAUCACCAAACUGAAAAGAAAACCUUUAUAAAAAAACUGGAUUGAUAAAUGACCUUUAGUAGUGGAAAGAUACCAUUCCAAUGAAGCAUGAAUUGAAAGGAUUUCUUCUGAAAGCUAAUUUACAUUUUUCUUUUUUUUUUUUUCAUUUUCAGUGUGUUUUAGCAGGUGUAUUGUUCUACAUGGUUAGUUUCUUUACCUCUUUGAGAAAAAUGGGUCAGCUUGACACAUCUGGAUGAAAGAAUCCGUUAGGUGAUUAUGAUUGAAGACAGAUUAAGCCUUGUUAUGAGGGGAAUAUUUGGGGGCUUACCCUGAGGUGAUAUUUGAUGAUUUAGCUGUGGGAGAAUUUCCCUCCCAAGAUCAGCGUGACUGACACUGAAAUUGCUACAGGGGAACCGGACCUUUCCAAGAGGUGACAAGGACAUUUACCUGGUACAACACAAUGGUUCUGGACUGGAAGUCUAGUCCCAUUGAUGAAGUUCCCAAAAGAUGUCCAGGUCCUAAUCCCUGGAAUCUGUGAAUAUGUCAUCUUACACAUCAAAAGAACUUUGAAAAUGUGAUUGAGGUUAAGGACCUUGGAAUGAGGAGAUUACCUUGGAUUAUCUGGUUGGGUCCAAGCUAAUCACAUGAGUCCUUAAAGGAGAAGAACCUUUUUUAGCUGGGUCAGAGAGAGAUGUGAUGAUGAAAACAGGCUCAGGGAGAUGCACUGUAAGAAGGGCUUGACCAGUUGUUUUUGACUUUGAAGAUGGAGGGAAGGGCCAGGAGCCAAGGAAGGUGGGUGGCUUUUGGAAGGUGGAAAAAGCAAGGGAACAUUCUCUCCAGAGCCUCCAGAAAGGAGCUCAGCCCUGUUGACAUCUUUGUUUUUAUUUUUUAUUUUUAGUAGCAUUGAGGUCUCACUAUGUUGCACAGGCUGGUCUUGAACUCUUGAGCUCAAGCACUCCUCCCGCCUUGGCUUCCCAAAGUGCUGGGAUUAUAGGCAUGUGCCACCACAUCUGGCUUCCUACUGACAUCUUAACUUUAGUGCAGUGAGACUCAUAUUUGAAUUUCUGACCUUAUAUUAUAGAACCAUAAGACAUUAUAGAAUUAUAUAGAAUUAUAGAACCAUAAGACAAUAACUUUGUGUUGUUUUAAGAUACUAAAUUUUUGGUAAUUUGUUAUGGCAGCACAAUAAAACCAAUAUAGCAUUAUAUUAUGCCAAUAUCAUCUCUUUGUUGACUAUUGCUAUUAUAGUUUGUUUUAUGGGUCUUGUGUAAACAAUCAAGCUAUAAUAUUGGGUUAACUCCCUAAGGAAAACUUGGAAUAUAGAACAUUAUUUUAAAGACUGAAUUAGGUAAAUACACCUGCCAGUGAAUACAUUAACAAAUUAAUUAAUAUAUUCACUCUUUUCACUCACAAAUACUUUUUGAGCCCCUAUUACUAGCCAAACAUUUUGUUAGAUUCUGAGAAGGGUCUGCUAGACAACAUUGUGACUAUAGUUAAUAACAAUAUAUUGUACUCUUGAAAAUUACUAAGAGAGUAGAUUUUAAGUGUUCUCACCACAAAAAAUAAGUAUGUGAGGUAAUGCAGAUGUUAGUUAGCUUGAUUUAGCCAUUCCCCAGUGUAUACAUAUUUCAAACCUUCAUAUUAUACAUGGAUAAAUAUAUACAAUUUUUAUUUGUCAAUUAAAAGCCCCUCGAUGAAUACAGUUUCCAUUCUGUCCUUGAGGUGGAGCUUGUAGACUUGGUGGGGUCCGGGGAUCAACUUUUAAACAGGCAGUUCCAAAGUGUGGAGUGGAUAGGCUUAUUCUCUUUGUUGCUUUUAUGAUAGGUAUUUAGAAUGCACUUUCCUCUGUUAAGUUAAGCCAGCCACCAUUCCCUCAUUCAGUUUCCAUCCUCCAUGAAUUUGCUCACAUCUGCGGUCUACUGUCACUCAUUCUUUCCUUCUCUUCCUGAGGGCUUGUGUGACUUAUGUUCUUGGCUUUCUCUU
rnacentral:lncRNA from 1 species